rnacentral:rRNA from 1 species
UACGUAGGGUGCAAGCGUUGUCCGGAAUUAUUGGGCGUAAAGAGCUCGUAGGCGGUCUGUCGCGUCGGCUGUGAAAACUCGGGGCUCAACCCCGAGCCUGCAGCCGAUACGGGCAGACUGGAGUUCGGUAGGGGAGACUGGAAUUCCUGGUGUAGCGGUGAAAUGCGCAGAUAUCAGGAGGAACACCGGUGGCGAAGGCGGGUCUCUGGGCCGAUACUGACGCUGAGGAGCGAAAGCGUGGGGAGCGAACAGG